AAAAGUGUAUUUCAUAAAGAGAAAGUUUGCCACCAAAUUUUGCUCUUUUUUUCCUCUUUUGGUGCUAUUUUCUGGUAUUUUUGGUAGUUUAAUUUACUCUCAAUAUUUUUCAAUUAUUCAAUUUUUCCUCGCAAUUGUAAGAGGUCCAUAAAGUAUCGCAUGCGAUUCAGGCUAAGUAUAAGUUUAAAUAUACUUAUUGCUGUAGAAAAGGUAAUGUUACUGAAAAUGUAAGAUCAAUUAUAUCAAUAUUUUACUCAGAAAAUUCAUUUUUAGAAAUGGGAUUUUAAUUUUAAUGUAAUCGCUGAGCUUUUGAUUUAUAAGCGGCCAAUAGCUUGAAGUCUCGAAAUAUAUCCUUCUGUUGAUGUUAAAAUUUUGUUGGUCCAGGCAAUUGAUAGCUGUUGGUCAUGCUAGACAUGUUUUGAAGGUACAUUUCACUGUAGUUUCUGAUUGUAAGCAUUUUGUUUUUGCAGCAGCUCACCCGAAUAUAAAUAAUUUAAAUUGAUCGAGUGACAAUAUGUAUGAUUCAUUAAGUUGAUUACUUUUUGUCUCCAAAUUGACAUUCAGGUGAAAAAUUGUCCAAUUGAGUCGCAAAUCCUUGACUCGAUUAAAAAUUAUACCUGGUUUUCAAUUAGGUUGCAAAUUUGAAGGUGAAAGUCAAGUAAUUAUGAGAAGACAAACCAAGAGCAAUCAACCAUCUCGGUUUUAUCUACUGUUGUCUUUAAUAAUUGUUCAACAUUUUCAUGAUCAUCAAGCUGAUGAAAUAGAUUCAAAUCAUUGGUUGGAACGUAGUCUAACGUAAGAAGAAACUGGGAUGAAAAACUUGAAUGAAAAUGAUUUUCUUUAAUUUUCUUAUAAACGUGUCUUAGUUAAUCUUAAAACAUGAAAAUGUAACUUGAAAAUGACUAUUUAAUGAAAUAGGUGACAUUCAAUUGUUUGCAUAUUAAAUUUUGUAAUACAUAGAUGAUAAAAUUUUGAAUCUUAUUUAGAUGUGUGUCUUUAGAUAUGUAUGUACAUAUCACUUUGGGAAAAAGGUAACACUCGAUAGAAAUAAACA